CCCUGUACUGGGGGAUAACACCGAGAAAUCGGUGCUAAUACCGCAUAACAUACAUUGGUCGCAUGGCCGAUGUAUCAAAGGAGAAAUCCGGUAUAGGAGGGGCCCGCGCCUGAUUAGCUAGUUGGUGAGGUAAUGGCUCACCAAGGCGACGAUCAGUAGCCGACCUGAGAGGGUGAUCGGCCACACUGGAACUGAGACACGGUCCAGACUCCUACGGGAGGCAGCAGUGGGGAAUAUUGCGCAAUGGGGGAAACCCUGACGCAGCAACGCCGCGUGGAGGAUGAAGGUAUUCGUAUUGUAAACUCCUGUCUUUGGGGACGAAAAAAAUGACGGUACCCAAGGAGGAAGCCACGGCUAACUACGUGCCAGCAGCCGCGGUAAUACGUAGGUGGCAAGCGUUGUCCGGAAUUAUUGGGCGUAAAGGGCGCGUAGGCGGCCUUCUAAGUCAGAUGUGAAAUCCCUGGGCUUAACCCGGGUCGUGCAUUUGAAACUGGAAGGCUUGAGUGCAGGAGAGGAAAGUGGAAUUCCUAGUGUAGCGGUGAAAUGCGUAGAUAUUAGGAGGAACACCAGUGGCGAAGGCGACUUUCUGGACUGUAACUGACGCUGAGGCGCGAAAGCGUGGGGAGCAAACAGGAUUAGAUACCCUGGUAGUCCACGCUGUAAACGAUGGAUACUAGGUGUGGGAGGUAUCGACCCCUUCCGUGCCGCAGUUAACGCAAUAAGU
rnacentral:rRNA from 1 species